UACGUAGGGCGCAAGCGUUGUCCGGAAUUAUUGGGCGUAAAGAGCUCGUAGGCGGCUUGUCGCGUCGUGUGUGAAAUCUCAGGGCUCAACUCUGACAUUGCAUAACGAUACGGGCAGGCUUGAGUUCGGUAGGGGAGACUGGAAUUCCUGGUGUAGCGGUGAAAUGCGCAGAUAUCAGGAGGAACACCGGUGGCGAAGGCGGGUCUCUGGGCCGUAACUGACGCUGGAGGAGCGAAAGCAUGGGGAGCGAACAGG
rnacentral:rRNA from 1 species